GACGAACGCUGGCGGCGUGCUUAACACAUGCAAGUCGAACGGAAAUGCCCUGCUUUUGUGGGGUGCUCGAGUGGCGAACGGGUGAGUAACACGUGAGUAACCUGCCCUUGACUUUGGGAUAACUUCAGGAAACUGGGGCUAAUACCGGAUAGGAGCUCCUGCUGCAUGGUGGGGGUUGGAAAGUUUCGGCGGUUGGGGUUGGACUCCCGGCUUAUCAGCUUGUUGGUGGGGUAGUGGCUUACCAAGGCUUUGACGGGUAGCCGGCCGGGGAGGGUGACAGGCCACAUUGGGACUGAGAUAGGGCCCAGACUCCUACGGGAGGCAGAAGUGAGGAAUAUUGCACAAUGGGCGGAAGCCUGAUGCAGCAACGCCGCGUGCGGGAUGACGGCCUUCGGGUUGUAAACCGCUUUCGCAUGUGACGAAGCGUGAGUGACGGUAAUGGGUAAAGAAGCACCGGAUAACUACGUG
rnacentral:rRNA from 1 species